GUAAGUCAAAAAAGUGGUUCAUUUUUUUGAAAAAAUGGACUUUUUUUUUCUCGUUUUUGCUUUU
rnacentral:tRNA from 1 species